AAAUUAAAUUUUCUUUCAAAAGCCAAGUAGGGCAAAGACAUUAAGAAUAAAAUCUUUUAAUGAAGAAAACAGCCUUGAAACAUUAACCAAAGGAGCAGAAGCAACGUUUGCCUCAUGCUGGAAAGAUGUACUUUAACCUUCACCUUAGAAGUGAGCAGCUGAAAACUUUGUACUUCAGCAUCAUUUGUGCCAGUUUUCUAUGGUAAACAGACCUCCGUGAUGACGCUCCCACUUCUUAUCUGGGACAGAUUUCAACUUCUGAACCAGCAGUCAACAAAGAUUCCCCCAGCUGCUGGGAAAAAAGAGGACAACGCCACUUCUCCCACCUGCAGAGAAGGACUGUA
rnacentral:lncRNA from 1 species